rnacentral:lncRNA from 1 species
GGAAGGCACAUCUGUCUGUCUGUUUGUGUUUAAGAACGGUUAACACAUUGAGACCCCAGAGAAACAUGUGGGUCUUACCCAGCAGACGGUCAGCCAACACAGAGAAAUAACUCAAGCCAGGAAAUAUUUAAAAGGAUUCCGCAAAGAGGGGAAAGAAAGAAAAAGAGGAUGAGAAGAGACUUCAGACUGUGAGAGUGAUAAGGAAACCAUUUUGAAAGGGUCGUAUGUAUGGCCAUUCAGCAUCAUCUUAUCCAAAAUAAGACACUGAGACGAGUGACUAUUCCAGCAAAGUAGGAAUAGAUCCAGGCAGAAAGUGGGAUACUCUGAUUCGCGAAAAGCAUGGUCCAGAGCUCCAGGGAGCAAAGUCUGCUAAGAGGUUUCAUGAUGAAGUCCCGGAGUAAUAUCAACUAGAUGCUGAAGUUUGGAGGAAUUUAUGACCCUUGCCAUCUCACUCUCAUGCAUGAUAUACUUUUAUUUAAAAUGUUCAAUCUACCAAGUGGCAUUCAUGAUCAUGUGAAAUACAUCAACGCCGUGAUGGGUAUAAUUUGAAACACUCGUGCUGGUCAUCUCUGAAUGAGGAAAACUAAGUAGCCUUGUACUUUUCUUGGAACCUCUCCUUCAUUCUCUUUUGCCUUUUCUCUUGGUUAUUGAAAUGAUCAUAUACCUAGUGGAACAUAUUUCAAAUUCUAUACAGGU